UACGUAGGGAGCGAGCGUUGCUCGGAAUCACUGGGCGUAAAGCGCACGUAGGCGGAUUCUUAAGUCGGUGGUGAAAGCCUGGAGCUCAACUCCAGAACUGCCUUCGAUACUGAGAGUCUUGAGUCCGGGAGAGGUGAGUGGAACUGCGAGUGUAGAGGUGAAAUUCGUAGAUAUUCGCAAGAACACCAGUGGCGAAGGCGGCUCACUGGCCCGGUACUGACGCUGAGGUGCGAAAGCGUGGGGAGCAAACAGG
rnacentral:rRNA from 1 species